rnacentral:lncRNA from 1 species
GCAAACCUUGGGGCUGGAGGAAUUCCAGUAAGAUCGAAUUUUCCCAACAACCUACAAUCUUUCGUGAGACUCCUUUCACCUUCAAAGACCUGACAUCAAACCACAGCAAUUCAAAUAAGGUUCAAACUAUUACAGUUAUUAGCAUUAAAAGGAAAGGAAAAUCCAAUUCUUGAGUUUUUACAUGUAGGCAAGCAUAUCCAAGUGUACCUGAAUGGAGACGGUAGUCUGCUGGUCCUGAUAAGUGGUGAAAACUUGUGACUUCUUGGUUGGGAUAACAGUGUUUCUAGGAAUCAACUUG